GACGAACGCUGGCGGCGUGCUUAACACAUGCAAGUCGAACGGUAAGGCCCUUCGGGGUACACGAGUGGCGAACGGGUGAGUAACACGUGGGUGAUCCGCCCUGCACUUCGGGAUAAGCCUGGGAAACUGGGUCUAAUACCGGACAGGACCACUGCCUGCAUGGGUGGUGGUGGAAAGCUUUUGCGGUGUGGGAUGGGCCCGCGGCCUAUCAGCUUGUUGGUGGGGUGAUGGCCUACCAAGGCGACGACGGGUAGCCGGCCUGAGAGGGUGACCGGCCACACUGGGACUGGGAUACGGCCCAGACUCCUACGGGAGGCAGCAGUGGGGAAUAUUGCACAAUGGGCGCAAGCCUGAUGCAGCGACGCCGCGUGAGGGAUGACGGCCUUCGGGUUGUAAACCUCUUUCAGCACCGACGAAGCGCAAGUGACGGUAGGUGCAGAAGAAGGACCGGCCAACUACGUGCCAGCCGCCGCGGUAA
rnacentral:rRNA from 1 species